rnacentral:rRNA from 1 species
AUUGAACGCUGGCGGCAUGCUUUACACAUGCAAGUCGAACGGUAACAGGCCGCAAGGUGCUGACGAGUGGCGAACGGUUUAUUAAUGCAUCGGAACUUGCCCAGUCGUGGGGGAUAACUACUCGAAAGAGUAGCUAAUACCGCAUACGAUCUAUGGAUGAAAGCGGGGGACCGUAAGGCCUCGCGCGAUUGGAGCGGCCGAUGUCAGAUUAGGUAGUUGGUGGGGUAAAGGCUCACCAAGCCAACGAUCUGUAGCUGGUCUGAGAGGACGACCAGCCACACUGGGACUGAGACACGGCCCAGACUCCUACGGGAGGCAGCAGUGGGGAAUUUUGGACAAUGGGCGCAAGCCUGAUCCAGCAAUGCCGCGUGCAGGAAGAAGGCCUUCGGGUUGUAAACUGCUUUUGUACGGAACGAAACGGCUCUGGUUAAUACCCGGGGCUAAUGACGGUACCGUAAGAAUAAGCACCGGCUAACUACGUG